rnacentral:lncRNA from 1 species
GCCGCCAGCACCAAGAGAGAGAAAGACCGUGAGUUUGAGAGAGAUGCAGAAAAUUAUGAAGAAGAAAAUAGGUUUUCGGCCAUGGGUUGUUGUGAGGUAAAAUCUCUAGCUUCCCUUUGUGUUUUCGUUUUACCCAUUGAUUAUAAAGCACGAAAAUCGUAUUAAUUGCUAUGAUAUGUGUUGGAUCCGAAAUCUAGGGUUCAUGUUAGAGUUUUAGUUAUACCUAGCAUUUUCGCCCAUGGGUUGUUGUGAGGUAAAAUACCUAGCAUUUUCUCAUGAUUUUCGUUAUACCCAUUAAUGUUAGAACUAGAAAACCAUAUAAAUUGCUAUGAUUCUUCCUAGGUCCGAAAUUAGGGUUUAUGUUUGGGAUUUGGGGCUUUUGCCAUGUUGUACGGUUGAUGGCCGAUUGGGUGAUUGAUAUCAAAUUGUUGAGGUAUUUUAGUGAUUUUUCAUGUGAAUUGAUUAUUUACUAAAUGUGUGUUUUGUGGAUAUCUCGUCUUCUUCUCCUCUGCUCCUCUCUCUUGUAGCAGAUUCACAGUUCCUGUCAUCACUUGCCUUCAUGCCAACAGCUAGAGAUUGUGAUGUCCUCGCCAGGUUUUGUAGCAGCUGGUGCAGGAGCAUCCUACUAUGGCCUUGGGGGUUUUGUAGCAGCUGGUGCAGGAGCAUCCUUCUCCGGCCUUGGGGGUAAUAAUAUUGUUAGCCUCUUUUGGAUUUACUCACAUAUCAUUAUUUUGUUCAUUUUUAGUUUAAAUUGAGUUGAUCUAUAAAGACCAUAGAUUGGUGUUUCUCAUUUGUUGCUUGUUAUAUGAAUAUGUAGUCUUGUUGCUGAGAUUUUGGUAUCAUUUUGAACUUAAGUAUAUUUGUGUAGCUCUAUGAUUCAUUGAUUAAUUUGAUUUGGAUAACAUUUUGGUUUAGCUCAAGUUUUAUUGAUCUUAGUCCUACUGCUGAGAUUUGGACAUCGUUUUGAACUUUAGUAUA